rnacentral:rRNA from 1 species
GCUGAUGCGUUGUUGGGUAGGGGAGCGUUCUGUAAGCCUGCGAAGGUGUGCUGUGAGGCAUGCUGGAGGUAUCAGAAGUGCGAAUGCUGACAUAAGUAACGAUAAAGCGGGUGAAAAGCCCGCUCGCCGGAAGACCAAGGGUUCCUGUCCAACGUUAAUCGGGGCAGGGUGAGUCGACCCCUAAGGCGAGGCCGAAAGGCGUAGUCGAUGGGAAACAGGUUAAUAUUCCUGUACUUGGUGUUACUGCGAAGGGGGGACGGAGAAGGCUAUGUUGGCCGGGCGACGGUUGUCCCGGUUUAAGCGUGUAGGCUGGUUUUCCAGGCAAAUCCGGAAAAU